rnacentral:rRNA from 1 species
AUGCUGUGCAAGAACACCAUGGCCUCCCUUGUCUUCCUUGUGGCGCUGCUGCUCUCAUGCAGCUCCAUGAGCAGUGCGGCACGGUACCUAGAGGAGGUUGUGCCCAAGAAGGAGUAUCCACCACAUCCUAUCGUCCCAGAGCUGCCAAAGCCCGAACUCCCGCCGCACCCUGCCGUGCCUGAGCUGCCGAAGCCUGAACCACCGCACCCUCUCGUGCCCGAAGUGCCACACCCCAUGGUGCCGGAGACGCCAAAGGAGCCUGAAGUGUCACACCCCGUGGUGCCGGAGGUGCCAAAGCACGAGCUGCCACCGCACCCUGCUAUGCCCGAGCUCCCGAAGCCUGAACUGCCGCAUCCGGUUGUGCCUGAGGUGCCAAAGGAGACUGAAGCGCCACACCCAAUCGUACCGAAGGUGCCAAAGGACCACGAUCUGCCACACCCUGCCGUGCCGGAGACGCCAAAGGAGCCUGAAGUGCCACACCCCGUCGUGCCAGAGGUACCAAAGGAGCACGAGCUGCCGCACCCUCCCGUGCCAGAGGUGCCAACGGAGCCCCAUGUGCCACACCCUGAGGUGCCGAAAGAGCCCGAGUUACCGCACCCUGUUGUGCCAGAGGUCCCGAAGCACGAAAUGCCGCCGUUCCCCAAAGCCGAGCUGCCCCCGAAGCCCGAGUUCCAUUUUCCGGAGCCAGCGGCCAAGCCAUGA